rnacentral:misc_RNA from 1 species
UGCUAGAUGAAUCCCAUAAUUUUGCAAAAUGCACUAAGAUCAUGGGCGAUAGCGUACCCCGUCGGUUCCUCGCCUACAACGUAAUCCGCGAGAAAUGCUGCCCGAGGCUGGGCUCCCGGCGGUGCCUCGUCGUCGUUGGCUUUCCGAUGCGGCGUCGGAUCCUAGACAUCGCCAAUGCCACCGUCUGGGCGCGACGCGAGCGAGGGAACGCCGCCGGCGGCGGCUCACGAGGUGCGGAAGAGACCCUGCCGAAGCCGGACGGGGGCCACCGGUGCGACCGCAUCCACACCAGGGGCCGCCGCUUCGGCGGCUGCACCGCGUCGUCCUCGCCACGCGACGUCGAGCCGCCGCCGCACGCGCGCUUCCUCUUGGCGCCGGGCGAGGGGAGGAGGGCCGCGACGGAGCCCGCGCACCCGCUCCCCUCCCGUCGGUGGCGAGCGCCGGGUGCCGGGCGCCCGUCGACGUCCAUGUCCUCCUGCGUGGCGGCGGUCCGGGCGGCGUCCAGGCUGAGGACCCUGACGAACAUGUCGAGGUCGCCGCCGGGCCCCGCCAGGCGCUCGAGCUCCUCGACGGCCUCCGUGAGGCGGUCCACCUCGUCGCUGCAGACGAAGAGCGCCCUGAAGCCCGCGAGGAAGCGGCGGGCGGAGCUCGCGACGGCCGCGGCGCGGCCCGCGGCGUCGAGCACCUCCUGCCCCCGCAGCGCCUCGGAUCGGAGCACCUGCAGCCAGGCCGAGAACGACUCGUCCCGCACGGCCGCCCCCGCAUUGCCCUCGGCGGCGUCCACCACCAUGCGCACCUUCGAGACCAGCUGGCGCAGGCGGCGCCGGCGCUGGUCAACCCGCGAGUGCGCUGACCAGUUCCCCUUGAUGAAGCCGAUGAACUCGCCCAACAGGGUCGAUUCGAGGAUCUCCAUCUUCCUCCUCAAAUCGACCUGAAGCAGCGCUGUAGCGGCAACUGUUCUUAUUCAAUGCUCAAUGAGGAGUCCCAAUGAGGCGGCGGGGGCAGUAUCCGUGCCGUGGUGGAAAUGAACAGAAUGGAACUAGCUGUAGCUGCUAGGGGGAGUAAUCGGAUCGAUACAUUGUUUUUUAUAUUACAUAUUUUCUUUUGAAUACGAA